rnacentral:lncRNA from 10 species
GAAGGACCCUGUGCUGCCUGUGACCCCGCUCCUGAAUCCGCCACCAAGAUGUCCUGCCAGCAGAGCCAGCAGCAGUGCCAGCCCCCUCCCAAUGUCAGCUCCGGAGGCUGCUGUGGCUCCAGCUCUGGGGGCAGCUGUGGCUCCAGCUCUGGGGGAUGCUGCAGUUCUGGGGGAGGUGGCUGCUGCCUGAGCCACCACAGGCGCCGUAGGU